rnacentral:sRNA from 1 species
GACAAUGAUGAUUCUUUUU